AUUGAACGUUGGCGGCACGCUUUAUACAUGCAAGUCGAACGAGAAAGCACUUCGGUGCGAGUACAGUGGCGGACGGGUGAGUAACGCGUAGGAAUCUACCUAGUAGUGGGGGACAACUUGGGGAAACUCAAGCUAAUACCGCAUACACUCUACGGAGAAAAGCAGGGGACCUUCGGGCCUUGCGCUAUUAGAGGAGCCUGCGUUGGAUUAGCUAGUUGGUGGGGUAAAGGCCUACCAAGGCGACGAUCCAUAGCUGGUCUGAGAGGACGAUCAGCCACACUGGAACUGAGACACGGUCCAGACUCCUACGGGAGGCAGCAGUAGGGAAUCUUGGGCAAUGGGCGAAAGCCUGACCCAGCGAUGCCGCGUGUGUGAAGAAGGCCUUAGGGUUGUAAAGCACUUUCAGUCGUGAAGAAAUGCUUAAAGUUAAUACCUUUGAGCCUUGACGUUAACGACAGAAGAAGCACCGGCUAACUCCG
rnacentral:rRNA from 1 species